CAGCAGCCGCGGUAAUACGUAGGUCCCGAGCGUUGUCCGGAUUUAUUGGGCGUAAAGCGAGCGCAGGCGGUUAGAUAAGUCUGAAGUUAAAGGCUGUGGCUUAACCAUAGUACGCUUUGGAAACUGUUUAACUUGAGUGCAAGAGGGGAGAGUGGAAUUCCAUGUGUAGCGGUGAAAUGCGUAGAUAUAUGGAGGAACACCGGUGGCGAAAGCGGCCCUCUGGCUUGUAACUGACGCUGAGGCUCGAAAGCGUGGGGAGCAAACAGGAUUAGAUACCCGGGUAGUCCCUGUCUCUUAUACA
rnacentral:rRNA from 1 species